rnacentral:lncRNA from 1 species
UUGUUCAUCUACUUCUGUAUGUUCUUUGUUUGAUUCUUGUAACGAUGACAUUUUGUCUGAUAACAAGGCUGUUACCUUGCCCUCAAAUGUACAUAGUUCCAUCUGUAAUAAUGUUGUUACAAACUGACAUGAAUUACAUUUGGCAUUUAAGACUUGCCCAUGCUUCAUUUACAAAUAUGAGACACAUUUCUGGUUUGUCUUUUCCAUUUGCUUCUAAACAAC